AAUUUUCGGCAAUGGGGGCAACCCUGACCGAGCGACGCCGCGUGAGUGAAGAAGGUCUUCGGAUUGUAAAGCUCUGUUGUAAGGGAAGAACCGUACCAGUAGGGAAUGACUGGUACCUGACGGUACCUUAUUAGAAAGCCACGGCUAACUACGUGCCAGCAGCCGCGGUAAUACGUAGGUGGCAAGCGUUGUCCGGAAUUAUUGGGCGUAAAGCGCGCGCAGGCGGUUUCUUAAGUCUGAUGUGAAAGCCCCCGGCUCAACCGGGGAAGGUCAUUGGAAACUGGGGAACUUGAGUGCAGAAGAGGAAAGUGGAAUUCCAAGUGUAGCGGUGAAAUGCGUAGAGAUUUGGAGGAACACCAGUGGCGAAGGCGACUUUCUGGUCUGUAACUGACGCUGAGGCGCGAAAGCGUGGGGAGCAAACAG
rnacentral:rRNA from 1 species